UUCUUCAACCUUCCAUCACCACCAAACCUCAUCACAACAUCUUAGUGAUGAACAAAUUAUAUUUCUCGCAAGUUCACGAAUCGAUAUCAUAGUAUAACAAGCAAAUACGAGUGUCGUACCCACAGGGAUUUGCAAAAUCACCUAACUGAAUUCAAUUUUGUAGUACCCACUAGAAUUAAAAUAACGAAAACAACUAAACUACGAAAUUCAAAUAAUUAACCAAAGAGAAGUUGAUUAAAUAAUCUUAAGUGCAGUAAAUUAAAGAGAAUUUAUGUAAAUAAUUUCUGAAAACAAUGGUUGAAACACUAGGUAUCCGACUUUACCAUAUCAAUCCAAUUCUAUGUCAUUAGAUAACUUAGUAAGAACAAUUCAAUUUAGGUUCUAGGGUUCAUUCUCUCUUUAUUAUGAUUAUCCGUUAGGCGUCCGGGUGUAACCACAUAUUCUUAAUCAUCAACUUAACCAUGGUGUCUAGUCUAAGUCAAUAAUAAAAAAUCCAUUAAGUGCAAGAAGAACAAAGAAAACCAAAAAGUGUCUUAGCAUGGCGUCUACAUCAACAACAAUUCAUUCAUCCAAGAGAGCUAUCUCAAGGCUAAGCAUAUGGCGUCUACUAUAACCUUGUCUCAUACAUCUAAAAAUUCAUAUUAAAGGUAGCUAAUCAAUAACAUGAACAUAAAGAAUGAUAUAAGCACAAUGAAUGAAACUAGAAACCUUGAAUUGAUAAAAGAAUGAAGUUAACUAAGACAGAAUUAUCAUGAAGGCUACAUCGGAUCCCUAACACAGAAUUAGUUCAUCACGACCAUCAAAUUAUAAUAAGACAUAAUUAUCACAAUCAUGAUCACCAAGUCGGAAAAGAUGUAAACGAAAACAAUGGAGAACCCCCUCGGCGUUGGCGUCUUCCUUAGGUCAAUCCUCUGUGAUGAAGUGUGACUCCCCUAUUUUCCUCUCUGCUCUUUUUCACGUCCCCCCUUCUUAAAUAAACAUCUAAGGAAUAUAUAGGUAGAUUUUGUUAGGCUUGCUUUGCCGCAAUUGUUGAAUCCCAGCCCAAACAGAAAUCCCAACAUCAUCAGACUUCGGUUUCCUGAUCCAAACUGGACUCCACUUCCGCGUAGAAUUUCUGAACUGACCUUCUUGUACUAAAACAAGUAUAGCUUCUUCUAGAAGCAUCCAAAUCAUGAUUAGUAAAAUUCGGCCGAAACUAGACAUCUAGAGCUUUCCAUGCAUAUGUGACACAACACUCAGUUCGUCCUGAUGAAUGUUUGACGUUCCAAUGAAAAUGACAGUUCUGCGCAACACCUUCCAGCUCCAGUUAUAAUUUUCACACAGCAGCCAUUAAGUUGUGGAUUGAACAAUUUAACAUUUGAUGAUUGUUGGAAUGCUUCUUCACUUCAAUUCUUCCCAGUUUUGAUCCCUUUUAGUCUUGAAAUCCCCAAAAGACUCUAAAGUCUUCUCUACGGCCCAUUAUCUACAAAAUAUGCACUAAACACAUCAAACAACCAAUUUCACAAGAAAACAUAGCGUAAAACUUAGGAAAUAUGGGCAAUAUAAAUGUAUAAAUAUUGUGUUAUCACCUAGCACCUAAUUCUAACCAAAACCCGACGAGAUUUGCUUUGAUUGUGCGGGGAAAACCACCCACUGGUCCGAGAGUUUCUCAAUGUUGAUCCUCCGAUUGCGAAACGUUUUCUUUGAAUUACCACUACCACUAAACUUCCCUUGAGGCCAGGAACAAAGCCCAAUCAACAUUGGGGGCGUCAGAGUUGUUUUGGAGGUCGAAUCAAACACACAUUUUAUAGGGUUUCCAGCGGAUUUUCGUGAAAUUGGGGCUUUUCCCGGCAAAAUUGGCCUUAGUCUUAGGUAUGAAAGUUGCUCUACUAAUUGAGAUCUUCAUUUCUAUGAAAUUUGGUAAUUUUUAGAAAUAGUUGAAUUUUUCGGCAAGUCGGGGCAGUAGACCACCACCUGCGGUGACGUGUGGGCCGAGGUAUCCCCUGACCUUCCUAGGUUAAGUUUGAAUACCUUGAUACCAUUUGUGAGGUCUGAUUAACGAAAUUUCCUCAUUUGAACCUAGUUUCAUUAAGGACCACCACCCAAUUAUUAUAGUAGUUGACGAUCUGACCGUUGGAUCGUCACUAAACUUUGAUACAUUGUAGUACAUAAUAUUUGAGGAUUUUAGAAAUUUACGGAUCAAGAAUCCGACGUACGGAUCUUCUCGAAUAGGAUUUGCAAGUUAAGUGUUAUAUUGACAAUAAUUCUGAGAUAUGGUUUGGUA
rnacentral:lncRNA from 1 species